CCGAAUGGGGAAACCCAGUGUGAUUCGUCACACUAUCAUUAACUGAAUCCAUAGGUUAAUGAGGCGAACCGGGGGAACUGAAACAUCUAAGUACCCCGAGGAAAAGAAAUCAACCGAGAUUCCCCCAGUAGCGGCGAGCGAACGGGGAGGAGCCCAGAGCCUGAAUCAGCAUGUGUGUUAGUGGAAGCGUCUGGAAAGGCGCGCGAUACAGGGUGACAGCCCCGUACACAAAAGCGCAUGUGCUGUGAGCUCGAUGAGUAGGGCGGGACACGUGGUAUCCUGUCUGAAUAUGGGGGGACCAUCCUCCAAGGCUAAAUACUCCUGACUGACCGAUAGUGAACCAGUACCGUGAGGGAAAGGCGAAAAGAACCCCGGCGAGGGGAGUGAAAAAGAACCUGAAACCGUGUACGUACAAG
rnacentral:rRNA from 1 species